UGCAUCUUCUACCAAAACCGUCGGUGCCUUCCUCCGAUCUUCUGUCGACAGUCCCGCAUUAGAGAAUGCAAAAAAAUUGGAGCUUGACUGCACCUGAGAAGGCCCCACUCGAGGAGUAACUGGCACAGUCGUUGACUGUUCGGGUUCGACCGCGGCCUCCACCUCGGCCCAAACCUCAGUCGAUGGAGCUGUCGAUGGUACUGUGGCAGCUCCG
rnacentral:lncRNA from 1 species